rnacentral:piRNA from 1 species
UGGGCUUCAGCGCCUGCCUUCUGUGUACAC